CUACCAUAUAAUCUAGGAUUUAGUUUGGACAGAUUUACUUAGUUCUAUUACGGGUAUGAGUAUUCCACGAAAUUCAUCUAUCUUCUCUGAAUGAGCCCCACACUCCUGCAAUGCUUCUUUACUUUCACUAAGGAACUUUACUCUCCUGUAGAGGACGACAACAUGCCAACUUCUGCCCUGAAGAAAUGCAUUCACCAGUUUGAUGUUUCUGUUUGUUUUCAAUGCUUGCUCAAUAUGUAAAGAGAGAAAAAUAAAAACUGUUUGCAGAUCGCAAGACACUCUCUUUUCCCUUUCUGCUCAUCCCAGCUAGACAUCUCGCCUUCAGUGUUAAAGGUGUGGGCCCAUAGGUACUGCCACCCCAUUAGUCACAAAAUCAGGCCAAACCAGCUUGUAAACCAUUGAUGCUAAAAUAUCACCAGAAAAAGCCUUUUGGUAGAAAGACAAGAGAAAGAAGAACAGAAGCAGAAGCUCAGGAGAUCUAUGCAGGUCACUCUGAAAGUAAUGUCUCCUAUUAAUUUCAAUAAAAAUUACAACAAAUAUGAAGAGCACACUAACAGUACUUGAUUGAGCAAAUUCUCAGCUACAAAACAUUAUUUUUCAAUGUAGUCACCACCAUUAGCUGUGCAGUUUUGACAGCUACAAACAAUAUCUUGCAUGCUGUGCUCAUAAACUGUGUUGAUGAAUGUCAAUAGGUGUCAUUUAUUCCAUAUGAAGGAAUUCUGUUCCACACCUUUGCAUGACAGGCACUUCCAUGUCAGACACCAUUUUCCAGACCGCUCCUUUGCUGCCAUCUGUCACAUGGCAAUAAAAUGUGACAGGAUACCUGUGAGGACGUUCAGUCUCUACUACCAUACCACCAGCAUCUGCCUCUGAUGUUGUGGCUGAGCAUGAUAAAAUAGGAGGCAUUACUUUUGCAGAAGCCCUC
ensembl:lncRNA